AGCAUGGGAGAUGUUGUUGUUGGUGACAGAAGAUAGAGAGCACAGAUGGAUGAUUUGCAAAUAUAUGCAUCUCACUCCUUUGUGCUCUCUAUGCUUCCUGUCAUCAGUGUUAGCACAUACUCUCCUAGGCU
rnacentral:pre_miRNA from 1 species